GACGAACGUUGGCGGCGUGCUUAACACAUGCAAGUCGAACGGAAAGGCCCUGCUUUUGUGGGGUGCUCGAGUGGCGAACGGGUGAGUAACACGUGAGUAACCUGCCCUUGACUUUGGGAUAACUUCAGGAAACUGGGGCUAAUACCGGAUAGGAGCUCCUGCUGCAUGGUGGGGGUUGGAAAGUUUCGGCGGUUGGGGAUGGACUCGCGGCUUAUCAGCUUGUUGGUGGGGUAGUGGCUUACCAAGGCUUUGACGGGUAGCCGGCCUGAGAGGGUGACCGGCCACGUUGGGACUGAGAUACGGCCCAGACUCCUACGGGAGGCAGCAGUGGGGAAUAUUGCACAAUGGGCGGAAGCCUGAUGCAGCAACGCCGCGUGCGGGAUGACGGCCUUCGGGUUGUAAACCGCUUUCGCCUGUGACGAAGCGUGAGUGACGGUAAUGGGUAAAGAAGCACCGGCUAACUACGUGCCAGCAGCCGCGGUGAUACGUAGGGUGCGAGCGUUGUCCGGAUUUAUUGGGCGUAAAGGGCUCGUAGGUGGUUGAUCGCGUCGGAAGUGUAAUCUUGGGGCUUAACCCUGAGCGUGCUUUCGAUACGGGUUGACUUGAGGAAGGUAGGGGAGAAUGGAAUUCCUGGUGGAGCGGUGGAAUGCGCAGAUAUCAGGAGGAACACCAGUGGCGAAGGCGGUUCUCUGGGCCUUUCCUGACGCUGAGGAGCGAAAGCGUGGGGAGCGAACAGGCUUAGAUACCCUGGUAGUCCACGCUGUAAACGGUGGGUACUAGGUGUGGGGUCCAUUCCACGGGUUCCGUGCCGUAGCUAACGCUUUAAGUACCCCGCCUGGGGAGUACGGCCGCAAGGCUAAAACUCAAAGGAAUUGACGGGGCCCCGCACAAGCGGCGGAGCAUGCGGAUUAAUUCGAUGCAACGCGUAGAACCUUACCUGGGUUUGACAUGGAUCGGGAGUGCUCAGAGAUGGGUGUGCCUCUUUUGGGGUCGGUUCACAGGUGGUGCAUGCCUGUCGUCAGCUCGUGUCGUGAGAUGUUGGGUUAAGUCCCGCAACGAGCGCAACCCUUGUUCACUGUUGCCAGCACGUUAUGGUGGGGACUCAGUGGAGACCGCCGGGGUCAACUCGGAGGAAGGUGGGGAUGACGUCAAGUCCUCAUGCCCCUUAUGUCCAGGGCUUCACGCAUGCUACAAUGGCUGGUACAGAGAGUGGCGAGCCUGUGAGGGUGAGCGAAUCUCGGAAAGCCGGUCUCAGUUCGGAUUGGGGUCUGCAACUCGACCUCAUGAAGUCGGAGUCGCUAGUAAUCGCAGAUCAGCAACGCUGCGGUGAAUACGUUCCCGGGGCU
rnacentral:rRNA from 1 species